UACAGAGGGUGCGAGCGUUAAUCGGAAUUACUGGGCGUAAAGCGUGCGUAGACGGUUAUGUAAGUCGGGUGUGAAAGCCCCGGGCUCAACCUGGGAAUUGCAUUCGAGACUGCAUAGCUAGGAUGCGGAAGAGGGAAGCGGAAUUUCCGGUGUAGCGGUGAAAUGCGUAGAUAUCGGAAGGAACAUCAGUGGCGAAAGCGGCUCCUGGUCCAGCAUCGACGUUCAGGCACGAAAGCGUGGGGAGCAAACAGG
rnacentral:rRNA from 1 species